rnacentral:piRNA from 1 species
AGCUGGUGCAUCCAGGGAAGAGAAG